rnacentral:rRNA from 1 species
CAGCAGCCGCGGUAAUACGUAGGGUGCAAGCGUUAAUCGGAAUUACUGGGCGUAAAGCGUGCGCAGGCGGUUAUAUAAGUCAGAUGUGAAAUCCCCGGGCUCAACCUGGGGACUGCAUUUGAGACUGUAUGGCUAGAGUGUGUCAGAGGGGGGUAGAAUUCCACGUGUAGCAGUGAAAUGCGUAGAUAUGUGGAGGAAUACCGAUGGCGAAGGCAGCCCCCUGGGAUAACACUGACGCUCAUGCACGAAAGCGUGGGGAGCAAACAGGAUUAGAUACCCCCGUAGUCCCUGUCUCUUAUAC